rnacentral:rRNA from 1 species
UAGAGUUUGAUCCUGGCUCAGAAUGAACGCUGGCGGCGUGCCUAACACAUGCAAGUCGAGCGAGAAAGCGGCUUCGGCCGUGAGUAGAGCGGCGGACGGGUGAGUAACACGUGGACAACCUACCUGGAAGUGGGGAAUAACUCGAGGAAACUUGAGCUAAUACCGCAUACGUUCGCAUCGUGCAAGCGGUGCGUGCAAAGAUGGCCUCUUCGCGAAAGCUGUCGCUUCCAGAUGGGUCCGCGGCUGAUUAGCUAGUUGGUGGGGUAACGGCUCACCAAGGCGACGAUCAGUAGCCGGCCUGAGAGGGUGAUCGGCCACACUGGAACUGAGACACGGUCCAGACUCCUACGGGAGGCAGCAGUGGGGAAUAUUGGACAAUGGGCGAAAGCCUGAUCCAGCAACGCCGCGUGGAGGAUGAAGGCCUUCGGGUUGUAAACUCCUGUCAGGUGGGACGAACGGGAUGCGGUCAAUAUCCGCAACCCCUGACGGUACCACCGGAGGAAGCCCCGGCUAACUACGUGCCAGCAGCCGCGGUAACACGUAGGGGGCAAGCGUUAUUCGGAAUUAUUGGGCGUAAAGGGCGCGUAGGCGGCUAGGCAAGUCAGGGGUGAAAUCCCUCGGCUCAACCGAGGAACUGCCUCUGAAACUACCUGGCUUGAGGCCGGGAGAGGGUAGUGGAAUUCCCAGUGUAGCGGUGAAAUGCGUAGAUAUUGGGAGGAACACCAGUUGCGAAGGCGGCUACCUGGACCGGUUCUGACGCUGAGGCGCGAAAGUGUGGGGAGCAAACAGGAUUAGAUACCCUGGUAGUCCACGCCGUAAACGAUGCGCACUAGGUAUGAGGGGCUCUGACGCCCCUUGUGCCGAAGCAAAAGUGCUAAGUGCGUCGCCUGGGGAGUACGGCCGCAAGGCUAAAACUCAAAGGAAUUGACGGGGGCUCACACAAGCGGUGGAGUAUGUGGAUUAAUUCGAAGCAACGCGCAGAACCUCACCUAGGUUUGACAUGCACGGAUGCCCUUUGGGAAACCAGAGUAAGCUGCCUUCGGGUGAAACGUGCACAGGUGCUGCAUGGCUGUCGUCAGCUCGUGCUGUGAAGUGUCGGGUUAAGUCCCUUAACGAGCGAAACCCCUAUCGUUAGUUGCCAGCGGGUCAUGCCGGGAACUCUAGCGAGACCGCCGGCGUCAAGCCGGAGGAAGGCGGGGACGACGUCAAGUCAUCAUGGCCUUUAUGCCUAGGGCGUCACACGUACUACAAUGGGUGCAACAGAGCGACGCGAGACCGCGAGGUGGAGCAAAUCGCACAAAUGCAUCCUCAGUUCGGAUUGGAGUCUGCAACUCGACUCCAUGAAGCUGGAAUCGCUAGUAAUCGCGCAUCAGCCAUGGCGCGGUGAAUGUGUUCCUGAGCCUUGUACACACCGCCCGUCAAGUCAUGGGAGUUGGGAGUACCCGAAGUCCGCUUAGCCAACUUGCAAGAGAGGCGGCGGCCGACGGUAAGCCCGAUGACUGGGACUAAGUCGUAACAAGGUAACC